rnacentral:rRNA from 1 species
UCUAAGCGUGAAGCCCCCCUCAAGAUGAGAUUUCCCAUUUCUUCGGAAAGUAAGAUCCCUGAAAGAUGAUCAGGUAGAUAGGUUUGGAGUGGAAGUGUAGCGAUACAUGGAGCGGACAAAUACUAAUCGAUCGAGGACUUAACCAAAA